GUGCUCGCUUCAGCAGCACAUAUACUAAAAUUGGAAUGAUACAGAGAAGAUUAGCGUGGCCUCUGUGCAAGGGUGACAUGCAAAUUCGUGAAGCGUUCCUGUGUUUU
rnacentral:snRNA from 1 species